rnacentral:misc_RNA from 1 species
ACAGGAAUGCACAUUAUUGACUAAGAGAUGUAAAAACCAGAUUCUGUGAGGUGCGAGAGAAACCAGCCAGAAGAUAACAAUAACGCGAAGCAAAUAUUGAUACCUUAUCCUAUAGAAUAAUACAUACAGCUUUAAUUUACAGCAAUUAAUUGGGCUCAUAAUGAUAUCAGUUUAUUACAAUAUGUACACAAUUCUGAGGUCGAAUAAGCAAACAAUGAAAUUCUUCAACAUGACUGCAAGUAGUUCAUCAUCUCAUUCCCAUCUGCAUUUGCAAUUUAGUAGGCUAGACCACCCACAAAAGGAUCUCCAUCGUUUAAAAGGGACUCUGUCAGCCAAUAACCAACCCAUGAACCACCAACUCUCUGCAAUAACAGCCACACGUCAAUGUAUUAGCAUGGCAAGUGCAGUAAUUUUGAGUCUGCAGGUGUGAAAAACAAGCUUCCUACAUGCUAUUGUUGAAAUAAAAAUGAUCAAAAGAAACCAUAAUGUUCAAAAAUCCAUACAAUAUUUUGAGUGAACAGCUAGCUAGAUUUAAAAAAGAUGAUCUAGCUCAACAAAUUUGAUCCCCUCGUACCUUAGUAAAUAUUAUAGAGCUUACUCGCUUAACAAUCCUGACUAAUGACCAGCCUGGAAUGAAGCAUGGCUCAUUUUAUCUACAUAUGUGAGACUAUAAUCUCAAACAAAGGAUGCGAUUACCUGAACCAUGGUAAAUUGAAAUAUUUCUUCUUCCUCUGGGCGAUUCCCCCAUAUCCAAAUUCGCUGCUUGAAUUGAUUUUGUUCCACAAUAAUAUAAAUGUCAAACAUUGUUAAUUUGGAGAGAAGGAAAUCCUGUUCCAUAUGAGAGGAGUUAAAGACUCGUAAAGUCACAACUUACAGAAAGUACGUCUAGACAUGAUGCAUGCAUCAACUGGUGAGCUCACUUGAAAUUAGAACAUCAUUUAGUUACUAAACACUGAAAAUUCAAACCUCUCUCACCAACAAACUGCUUAGGAUUUUUCUAUCUUUCUGCCCAAGCAAAACACGGUAGGUUGAAUCCGCCUAAAUCCUUCAAACUGCAAUAAUGAUUGCAACUGAGAGAUGUAAGAAAUAUGGCAUUCAAUGAAAAAGAAAAGGUAAAAACAUCUAAAUUCACUGACCUUCCCCAAAUCAAAGAAGGUACAAAAUAGGUUAGCCUCUCAAAUGGGUCAAAU